CUGCUCCUCUUCCGCACCGUCCCCCACUACAACAUACACUACUUUCCUGCCAAACCUUUGCAUUAUGCGCUCAAAGCAACUCUCUUUUCCUGCAGAAGAAACAAGGAGGAAGAAAGGGUCGGGUGAACACAAAAGGAGUGGAAAAGUCAUUUACCUGACCGGCUGCAUGCUCCUCAUCCUUGCCAUCGCCAAUCACAACAUAUGUAAUUGUGCACGCGAUGUCUCCGAUGGAAGCGGAAAGGAAGACUGCCGAUGGAAGGGUACGAGUGCCGUCCGUACACAGGAGCCCGUGAGCAGAGAAUGGAAGACAAUGAUGGUCUCAUCCAGAUCCCACACAAAAACCCUCUGCGAAAACCAAGCCGAGAUCGCACAACAAUGAAGGACGGCGUCCGUCAGCACGCGGCGGCCCCGAGGAGGAGCGCCGGCACGACGUCAUCCAAGGCCGAGAGGACGCGAUCCGGGAUCGAAAGCUUUCGGCGAGGCCGCCGCUCGGCUCGGACCGACGACACCUCCGCUUGGCGAGACGACCGGCACGCCCGAAGGGAGCCUCCCGCGCGUGUCACCUGAGCCACUUUGUGCGAGGAGGGGGAAGGGACGACCUUUGAACCCGACGGCCCCCCGUGAUCACAGCUUGCCUGAUGCCCGCGCGGACGGAGCGACAAUCCCCCCCCAAAAAGCAAGAACUCCAGUCCGGGGUUCCAUCAGUGUGUUUAUGUGUGAGCAACAGGAGACGGACGGGAGGCGGCCGGCCGGCGUAUCGUCUUCAGCCGAGGGCCAAGUGGAGAGAUAAUUGCACAAGUAAAUAUCAACAAUGAAAAGAGAGACGUGUAAAUGAUCCGCGUGCUUGGCCCACAGACACACUCCAGGACAAGGACGCUGACCGGGCGACGGCAUUGUGACGUGAUUGUGUGACAAGGUGAGACGGAUAAGAUAAAAUGCCCGUCAUUAAAAAAACAAACAACAAAAAAAGUCUUCGCUACUGUAUUGUGGUGGGACAAAAUGCCUGCGAGUUACUCAAAGUCACGAUAAGGAUGUCAACCCAUGGAGUAGAAAGAAAGACCCCCCCCACCAAGGCCUGGGGCGAGUGCCGCCUGUGA